CUUUCUCUGCCAAACUCUUCCUUGAUGACACACAAGAUCCGAGGAUGAAUGAUUGCCCUCUUGAACUCAUUACACUUUCCUUGCCUAGAAUCUGGGGACAGAAUGAAGGCUCUGUCUUCUACUCCAUCAUCUUGUUGGCAUCACUCCUGGAAAAGAUAUUCCAGUGCAAAGUUGAGUGUGGAUCAUCUUUAGGGAUGUAAUCUCGACUUCCCUUCGGAGAAAAGGAGAAAUACCACAUUUGUUGGAAGCCAGUCUCCAAGAAAGUGUGAACCACAACCACCACAGGAAAAGAAAAACUCAGACUCAGGAGGAGAGACGGCAGCAAAACUCCAUUAAAAAAUUUUUUUUUAUUAUUAUUUGAGACAGAGUCUCGCUCUGUCACCCAGGCUGGAGUGCAGUGGCGUGAUCUUGGCUCACUGCAACCUCCGACUCCCAGGUUCAAGCAAUUCUUCUGCCUCAGCCUCCCGAGUAGCUGGGACUACAGGUGUGCACCACCACACCUGACUAAUUUUUGUAUUUUUUUUUUUUAGUAGAAAUGGGGUUUCACCAUAUUGGCCAGUCUGAUCUUGAACUCCUGACCUUGUGAUCUACCUGCCUAGGCCUCCCAAAGUGCUGGGAUUACAGGUGUGAGCCACUGUGCCAGGCCACAUAGCUCCAUUUAACACUCCUGAAGCUAAAGUGACACCACCAAGAAGCAACUCAGAAAAACUAACCUAUUUUCUGCUGGUAACUUAUAUAAGUGUCAAACUAUAAAUUUGAUCAGCAACAACAAAAAUCUACCCCGUUAUCUUUAUGCUUUCUAUAAAGUUCUUUUCUAUAUAGGGAUUUAUUAAUUUUGUCACUAGGUGGUUUAAUGAUCAUAGAAAUUACUGAAAUGUAUGUGUCUGAUCUGAGCCUCAAAGUUGAGGUAAUUUUGUAUCAGACCAAAAAAAAUGGCUGACCAAAAUUUCUUUUUAAUUUGUAAUAACUUUGAAGUGUCUGAAGAAAAAAAAAUUCAAGAAUACAAA
rnacentral:lncRNA from 1 species